GGGACUCAUCCGAGGCCCCGUAAUCGGAAUGAGUACACUUUAAAUCCUUUAACGAGUAUCCAUUGGAGGGCAAGUCUGGUGCCAGCCGCCGCGGUAAUUCCAGCUCCAAUAGCGUAUAUUAAAGUUGUUGCGGUUAAAAAGCUCGUAGUUGGACUUGUGUCCUGCGCUGUCGGUUCACCGCCCGUCGGUGUCUAACUGGCAUGGUUCGCGGGACGUCCUGCCGGUGGUGGUUAGUCGAAAGGUGGCACGUGCUCAGUUCGCUGGGUUGCGUGUUGCCUCCAGGCGAACCCCGAUUCAAUCCUACUGCGGUGCUCUUUACUGAGUGUCUCUGUGGGCCGGCACGUUUACUUUGAACAAAUUAGAGUGCUUAAAGCAGGCCGGUCGCGCCUGAAUGCUGUGUGCAUGGAAUAAUGGAAUAGGACCUCGGUUCUAUUUUGUUGGUUUUCGGAACCCGAGGUAAUGAUUAAUAGGGACAGUCGGGGGCAUUCGUAUUGCGACGUUAGAGGUGAAAUUCUUGGAUCGUCGCAAGACGAACCGAAGCGAAAGCAUUUGCCAAGUAUGUUUUCAUUAAUCAAGAACGAAAGUUAGAGGUUCGAAGGCGAUCAGAUACCGCCCUAGUUCUAACCAUAAACGAUGCCAGCUAGCGAUCCGCCGAAGUUCCUCCGAUGACUCGGCGGGCAGCUCUCGGGAAACCAAAGCUUUUGGGUUCCGGGGGGAGUAUGGUUGCAAAGCUGAAACUUAAAGGAAUUGACGGAAGGGCACCACCAGGAGUGGAGCCUGCGGCUUAAUUUGACUCAACACGGGAAACCUCACCA
rnacentral:rRNA from 1 species